UACGUAGGGGGCUAGCGUUGUCCGGAAUCAUUGGGCGUAAAGAGCGUGUAGGCGGUCCGGUAAGUCCGUUGUGAAAGUCAGGGGCUCAACCCUUGAAUGCCGGCGGAUACUGUCGGGCUAGAGUCCGGAAGAGGCGAGUGGAAUUCCCGGUGUAGUGGUGAAAUGCGUAGAUAUCGGGAGGAACACCAGUGGCGAAGGCGACUACCUGGCCUGUUCUUGACGCUGAGGCGCGAAAGCUAGGGGAGCAAACGGG
rnacentral:rRNA from 1 species